rnacentral:ncRNA from 1 species
GUCCGCUCAGGGCAAACCAUCCGAAAGGAUGGGACGCAAAGCCGACGGCCUACGUUUUGCCCGCCAUGACCACUAAGCGGGCGGGAUAGGGCGGCAGGGUUGCCGGA